rnacentral:lncRNA from 1 species
UCGAAUACAUCAGAUUCAGAAUUGGUGGAGAAAUGGUCAUUAUGUUCAAUGUAGCCCUUUUCCAAUAUAUAUCACCAAUUUCAAAUUUGAAAAGAUCUAUGGAGUCCUGCCAUUUGCAGACUACCAUUCCAUCAAAUAAAUUUGAGCCCUUAUCCAAUUAUUUGCACUCUUGUUUUUUUCUAUUCAAUAAAUGUUUUGCAUGUUUUAAU